CCUUGGUAGGUUGUCGGCUGGCCACUUUAAAGGCAAUGUGCACACCUGUCCUCGGUUCCUACUUGCUUAUCCUCCUGUGCAUUUCUUGUGGCUCUGCUCUCCGAAUGGUGAGCAGUGGUCAUGCUAUACUGCCUAUAGACGAGUGUAAUUGAGUGUGCUUGUGAUUGGUAUUACUAUACAACUUUCAGCAACGGAUCUCUUGGCUCUUGCAUCGAUGAAGAACGCAGCGAAAUGCGAUAAGUAAUGUGAAUUGCAGAAUUCAGUGAAUCAUCGAAUUUUUGAACGCACCUUGCACUCCUUGGUAUUCCGAGGAGUACGCCUGUUUGAGUGUCAGUUGAUCCAUAAGGUGGUAUAUGCCCUGGUCCCGGGUCGCUUAUGUGUCCUGAGUUAGCUGGGGGGAGCCGUACAAUGGGGAUUGUUUGCCUUUCGUGUUGUCUGUCAGGUAGUCGGCCGUUCCUUCGGGGUCCAGUGCACACCUGUCUUGGGCUUUAGCACGAUGGGUGGGCUUCUCUGAAAAGCAUUUGUGGGAGCUGCAAGUGACUUGUUUGUUGGGCUAUAGGCGUCAUAGUUUUAUGCGCCGGCAAGUUUGCUUGUGAUCUUGCAAUUUCCUGUGAACUCCUGGAUGGGAGCACAUUGACGAAUUUGACCUCAGAUCAGGCGGGACUACCCGCUGAACUUAAGCAUAUCAAUA
rnacentral:rRNA from 1 species